rnacentral:tRNA from 1 species
GCCUCGGUAGCUCAGGGGUAGAGCGCUCGCUUGGUAAGCGAGAGGUCGCGGGUUCGAUUCCCGCCCGAGGCU